UUUUUGUUUAGUUUCAAGCAUUUCAAGUACCUGUUGGCCGCGCACGAUUGUCAAGAAGCGCCGAGGCUUGGGGACGAGGUUUGAAAGCGCUUAUCUUAUGAACGGAUUUGGUCAAUCAGAUGACUGAAAUAGGAAGGUAGGGUUGCCCUUUGAAGGAGUUAGACAUUGAACGAAAUAAAAUACGAUCGUAUAUAGUCGAUUCGAACAGGAGAAGUUAUGGAGGAAGCCUGUAUAUAUCUUAUGCUUGUGAUGUUACUCUGAGUGUAUAUCCACACCGGGCAAGCUUGAAAAAUAUGCCUGACCACGGUGGGAAACGAACCUACUACCUAUAGAAUACUAGCCCAAUGCUCUGCCAACUGAGCUACGCGGUCUGGUCGGUUCGAGUAUGCGAUAUUUCGGAACAGACUGAUCUAGUUCCAAAAUAUUGAACUAGAAUUGAAUUGCCCGGUGUGGAUAUAUUGAAUUGCCCGGUGUGGAUAUACACUCAGAGUAAUAUCACAAGCAUCAUAUUCACCUGAGUACAUUACACCAACACUGUAUAUAUCUGUUAUAAACUUGGUCUAGUCUUAUUGCAGAAGGAAACUAGAAUGUAUGCGGAAAUUUGUGUUGUUUGGUAGAGUCUCAAAGCACUCUUCUCACAUGUGAGUGAGGUGAAAUUAUAAUCAGAUCACUGCAUAUUGCAGGAAUCAAAUCUCAGUCACAGAGACGAAAGAUACAUAUAUGUACGGACCAUUGCGACACUAGCCUGCUUGCCUCCCUAAUUUUUUCGCCACCCGCACCUCAACCCUAACCCUUAAACCCUCCAGCCUGGGCGUCAGGCUACUGCCACACCAACAAUCACCGUUUUAACUAAUAACUCCAAGGGAUUAGUGGCAUUAAUUCCGCUAUUGACCAUGCAGACUAACGAGGCAAUAUACGCUAGGGAAAGCUUUCGACAUUUUCAAUAACAAAUGCUUGAUCAUCGAUUGACUCGCUUUAAAUUUUAAAUUUUGUAUUUUUAGACAACUUUUCCCGUUCGAGAAGAAAAAUCCUCCAUUCUCGUCCCAUUUAGAAGAAAAAUGCUCUGGCAUUCGGAGUAAAAUACUGAAGCGGAGAGAGACUGACAUUGUUUGAUAAACAAUCCACUUUCAAUAGAGAUUAGAUUAUAGACAAUCAUGUCCGCCUCUGUUGCUAUGCAGAAUUAAAUAUGGAGUUUUUCGACUAUGAAUUUGCAUUAAAAUACAAGCUUUUAACCGUACUAUUAAUGUGCAAUUCACAGCUGGAUUCCUGUAUGUAUGACGAAUUUCGCGUGUGAGAAAUUUGCUGCCCCG